CUAUACGAUACUACAGACAGCAAGUUAAUUAUCUCACAUCUCACGUCGCCCAGAAUGCACCGCGUGGGCCAAUGACGUAACAUCGUCAACGUUGUUGGGUUUUUGAGCUAGUGCCCAGUAGACUCCAUUCACUCCGUGAAGGAGAGCGAUCCCUGUCCCAGAGUCGCCCAGAAUGCACCGCGUGGGCCAAAGACGUAGGUUCGUCAACGUUUCCCAUCUCCUCAAAAGUAUAUCUGCCGUUGUGAUUUAAACUCCACUCUGGGAGACACAUCGAUCUGCAGGUUGAACAUGAUCUCCAGGCUCAAAGCGUCAGUCCACUAGCUGAACUCUCAGUCAGACUGGUGAAUGGGACCACUUCCUGUUCUGGGACAGUGGAAGUCUUCUACAGAGGAGAGUGGUUAAGUAAAUGUUAUGGGUGGUGGAGCAUGAUGAGAGAGGUUAAGGUUGUGUGUAGAGAGGUGGACUGUGGGAAUCCUGUAUCU